UACGUUUUGUCUUUGCAUAUUAUAAUUCGUUUUACGUUGGACAUGUUCGUUCACCUAUUUUGGGCAAAGUCUCUUGAAUUUCUGACUCCCCUCAUUUAAACUCAAAUUUGAAUUAUUCAAUUGAUUAAUUUCGGGAUAAAAUUGCCGACAAAUCGUCUAAAUUUUCGUAAAGGCAGGGGCCGCGGAACCGGAGGGCAAUGAGGAGAUGUGCCUUCCCCCCCCCCCCCCCCCCCCCCCACACACACACACACUUUUUUAAAAGUGAAAAAUGUGCUCUUUUUUCUGGGCUAAAGUGCCCCAUUCAAAGGAACGAAAAAGUAUUCCCGAAUGAACGCCUCUUUCGCUGGGAUGGAAGUGCCCUUUUUGCAGUAGUAAAGACUCGGUAAAGGCCGUUUCUGACGUGAUAUACAACACAAGUAAGUUUAAAGAUAUUGUAGGUUUUACGAGUGAUUUGAAAUUUGGAGUUUGUGCGUCUAAGAUUGGAAAUACAGUAGGCGAAUUUUAUCUUUGUUUUCCCUGACGCUUUAAAUUUGCUUUUGUUGGCGU